AAACUGGAAAUAGUGAAUUUAAAAAAAGGUUCUGUCUGGCCUUAUGUUGGAGGCGCACCUUGUGAUAGUAUUCAGUGUGCAAUGAGACAGGCUUUUGCUUGUUUUUCUUUUCCCAGGAGGCACCAGGAACCGAACCCAGCACCUCCCAUGUGGGAGGCAGGAACUCAACUGCUUGAACCACAUCCAUUCCCUGAGGCAGCUUUUUUUUUUUUUUUGGCAGUUCUUCUCUCCUGUCACAGCAGGAGGGAGUUGACAAAAGGACCACGGUCUGGAGCUGCCGGGUCUGGCGCUACCGGAGCAGGCGCUGAGGUCCUGGGGCCGCCUGCCCACUUGCCACGUGGUGCAAACCCUCACUUCUCGCAGGGUUCCUGCGCCCACACCCGUCACCCCAGCCCCAGGCGGUGCCCCCCGGGCUGUUGUCCCCCCAGGACUUGGGCGAUGCUGUCCCUCAUUCAAGGACUGCAGGUACUUCGAGGGAAGAACACUUGCGGCUGUGGGAGCAGCGGCAGCAGCUCUUUAACCGAGAAGGAAGCCAGAUGUGGGCAGUCGCAGCGGAGCCCAGACCCCGAAGUGCCCUGGCAGGUGAGCAGCAGGCCGGGGUGCAGGGGCCUGCGCUCCAGCCGCUCUUCCUGAUCCCCUGCAGCUGGAAGCACUGUCUGCACUCCCUGGGGCACUUAUCUGGCUGGAAAGAGUUAUUUCUGAACUUGCCUUAUCUCCCCUCCUGGACCUCCGCAGAGGUCGAGACUGUCUGAGCUCCUCCUUAUCAGCCUCGCCUCACAGCGGCCCUGCACAGGGACCUGGAGGAAAGAGCCCCGGGGUUAUCGUGCAGCCGAAUCCAGUCCUGGGUGGUGCCAGACACGGUCCCUAGAUCUGGAGGCUGAGCCUUGUCUCAGGCGCCUAAAGGGCAGAGAGGAGCCAGGCGUUGGUCCCGCGCCAGCGCAGGGCAGGUAAAGCCUCCUAGAGAAGGCGCUGCUUGGAAGCCAAGGCAGUGGCUCGGCUCCCCUUCCCCACCCAUGGUCUUUCUUUCUCUGCGUUAGAUCGCCUUCCUUCACGACCCAGCCCUCUCCGCUGUCUUCUAGCCCCUCCUCCCUGUUGACUUAUUUUUUCCCAGGCUACGAUCACCGUGGUCCUUUCACCUCUCCGUGGUUGAGCUAACUGCUCUCCACCCAGCGUCUCCCCUGCCUCUCCCUGUCCCCUCUUGGCCUCUUUCCCACCUAUUCCUCAGCCCACAGGCAUGUGGCUUCCUUGCAGCCUCUCCCCUGAAAGGGCUUUGGGUGUGCCCUGAGGGUGUGACCUGUUCUUGGCCCUGUGCAGUGGGUGCUUUUCGGUCUUCAUAGAACUCGUGCUGUCCGCACCGGGUCAGCCUGUGGAAGCUUCUCUUCUCGAAGCGCCGGCUGCCUGGGUGUCCUGAUCACGCACGCCCUCUUCGUCUCCUUCCUGGUGACCUGGGUUCUUGUCUCCUUCGCUGUCUUUAACUGUUAGUGUUCUUGGCCCUCCUCUCUUGCCACACACACCCAGAUCCUUCACCCCGUUGCACAUGGCUUCAGUGACCCCAGUCUCCAUCCACAGCUCUGGCCUUUUCCCUGUGGUUAUUUCAUAUGCACAUUUCCCCUGUCAUCUGUUCAUCACCAUCAGUGCCUCAAGCAUAACAGGUGGAAAACAAAAGCGAUGAGUCCUCGGUAGCUGAUGGCACCACCGUCCACCUGGUCACCCAAGUGAGUUGUCCGAGGCAUGUCCUCCUUCCUCCCAUCCAGCCACCAAGUCCCCUGACUCCCCGUCGUGUAGGCACGGAGGCCACGCUCUGCUGGGAUAACAGAUAUCCUCACAAUUUCAGUGGCUUAAUAAAACUUUGUUUCUGGCUCAUGCAAAUUCACAUGUGUUGGGCUCGUGACCCCAGCCGCUCCCUUCCAGGCGACCUUUUGGGGAUCUCGUCUUGGUCCUUUGACUUCCAAGUUGGCUGCACAAGGGAAUGAGCAGGCUGGGAUGUUUUUUAAGGACCAGGCCUGGAAGUGGCUGACAUUGCUUCCACCGUGUCCCACUGGCCAGACCUCACGUGGCUGACUUAGCUGCCAGAGCGGCUGGGACGUGUGGUGUCCUGCGUAGAAGAGGAGGCGACUGGGCGAGCUCCCCUCUGCUCCCUCUCUCCUUCCUGCUCCUGCCCUUCCACCUCCCACUGCCGCUGCCCCCGCUUGGGCCCUCACCCUCCUGUCCCUGGGUACUGACUAGCCCUCUAACUAGUUGCCCUGCUGGUCACCUCUUCCCUUCUAAUCUGGCCUCCUCACAGUAGCCUGAGCGACCUUCCUAAAUACAGGCAGAUCUUAUCAUUCCACCGCCUGCUUCAGACCCUUCCUUGGUGCAACACCCAUUGCCUGGGGAUGAAGUCAAGUUUCUCCUUUAGCACAGACUAGAAAGCUCCUGGUGGCUGGAUCCUCUCAACCUCUCCCUUCUCAUUUCUCACCACCCUCCCCAACCCAGCUCUCUCUGUAGCUAUAACAGACUUCUGUUGUUCCCCAAACAUGUAGCAUCUUUGCGAGCCCCUGCAAUGUGCCUACACUUGUUCUCUCUUCCAGAAGAUAGACUCCAAUCUCCACGCCAGCAGCAGCUCACCAGGCCCCUUUUCGACCCGUCUUUGUACACCCCACUCUUGGCAGAGUCAGAGGCUUCCUCCUGAGUUACUCCUAAGGCCCUUUAUUCAAACCUCUUCCCGUUUUAUUGUGAUUGCUGUCCAAUGAGCCUGACUUCACCCGAUGGGCUGAAGGGUGACCGUGCUUACUCCGCUAAAAGCUUUACAUGUUUUAACUCGUUUGAGCCUCACAACAACCCUGUGAGUGAGGUAUUAUUGUGAUCUCUAAAUAAAAACAUAUUAAGGAAAC
rnacentral:lncRNA from 1 species